CUUAAGAUGAAAUUUAAGAUUGGGCCUGCUCACUGAUAAUUUAAAGAGCUGCGGUAUUUUGACCGUGCAAAGGUAGCAUAAUCAUUAGUCUUUUAAUUGGGGACUGGAAUGAAAGGUUUGACGAAAUAAUAACUGUCUUUUGAGAAUGAAUUGAAUUUUAUAUUUAAGUUAAAAAGCUUAAAUUUUUAUAAGGGACGAGAAGACCCUAUAGAUUUUUAUAUUAAUGUUGUUAAUCGAGUUUUGGAUUGGAUAAUAAUAAUUGAAAUAUUUGGUUGGGGUGAUUUUAGAAUAAGGAAACUUCUAUUAAAUUUAACAAAAAUAGUUGGAUUUUGGAUCCUAUAUUAGGGAUAAAAGAUUAAAAUACCUUAGGGAUAACAGCGUAAUUUUGUUUGAGAGUUCAAAUCGAGAAUAAAGAUUGCGACCUCGAUGUUGGAUUAAGAGUAUUUUUUGGUGCAGAAGUUAAAAUAAUAAGUCUGUUC
rnacentral:rRNA from 1 species